UCAAAGGGCUCAAUUCACUCC
rnacentral:siRNA from 1 species